ensembl:lncRNA
CCUGAUGAUUGCAAGGUGGCUUUCAGUGGCGCCUGGGGCUUCCGAUUUCACCAUUCACACCUAAGAGGGAUGUUCCCGGCAUUCUGGAAAAUGUUCUCUUCUAAGAUUGCCUUUUCUUCCAAGGGAAACAGCCAGAGAUACAAGGCAACUUGGCUGAUGAAUCCCAUUUGGAUGGAGACACUGAAGAGAUAAAGACCAACCAAUAAGGAACAGAUACCGAAGCAGGAAGUAAAUGUGCCCACUCAUUUAUCUGCAUCUUGUUUGCACUUCAUUGGAUAACACUAAGGAUUUGUUUGUUUGAAUUGCUCUUCAUUUGCAUUGGAAUCAUCCGUGCCUGUCAGUAAAUGAUCCCCUGAAGAAGGAAAUGGCUACCCACUCCAGUAUGCUUGCCUGGGAAAUUCCAUGGACAGAGGAGCCUGGCAGGUUACAGUUAUUAGGGUUGCAAAAGAGUCAACACGAUUUAGCAACUAAAACAACAACAAAAGAAGAAUCCAUGGAUAAGGCACUCCUAAAGUGUCUUCAACACGUAAAGCCUCGCUGAACUGAAUGUGGGGUCUUAGUUCCCCGACCAGGGAUCGAACCUAUGCCCGCUGCAGUGGAAGCACACCAUGAUACCAGGGAAAUCCUCAUAUGUACUGGGAAGGAGACAGCUCUAGGAAAGCUGCUGAUGUCAUCACAGAGGAAAGGGAUAAAGACACACAGAUGACCAGGAUCCAGGACCCCUUCAAAAGCACGAGCAGC